CAGAGGAUAGUUAUUAUAAAUAUUAAAUUUGGAGUUAAAAGAUAGGGUUAACAACCUUUUCUCUGA
rnacentral:tRNA from 1 species